rnacentral:rRNA from 1 species
GAACGAUAAGCCACCUUCGGGUGGUGGACAGUGGCAGACGGGUGAGUAACGCGUGGGAACGUGCCUUUCGGUUCGGAAUAACCCAGGGAAACUUGGGCUAAUACCGGAUACGCCCUUCGGGGGAAAGAUUCAUUGCCGAAAGAUCGGCCCGCGUCGGAUUAGCUAGUUGGUGGGGUAAUGGCUCACCAAGGCGACGAUCCGUAGCUGGUCUGAGAGGAUGACCAGCCACACUGGGACUGAGACACGGCCCAGACUCCUACGGGAGGCAGCAGUGGGGAAUAUUGGACAAUGGGCGCAAGCCUGAUCCAGCCAUGCCGCGUGGGUGAAGAAGGCCUUAGGGUUGUAAACCCCUUUCAGCGGGGAAGAUAAUGACGGUACCCGCAGAAGAAGUCCCGGCUAACUCCGUGCCAGCAGCCGCGGUAAUACGGAGGGGACUAGCGUUGUUCGGAAUUACUGGGCGUAAAGCGCACGUAGGCGGAUUUGUAAGUUAGGGGUGAAAUCCCGGGGCUCAACCUCGGAACUGCCUUUGAUACUGCAAAUCUCGAGUCCGGAAGAGGUGAGUGGAAUUCCUAGUGUAGAGG